rnacentral:rRNA from 1 species
GUCCACGCCGUAAACGAUGUCAACUAGCCGUUGGAAUCCUUGAGAUUUUAGUGGCGCAGCUAACGCAUUAAGUUGACCGCCUGGGGAGUACGGCCGCAAGGUUAAACUCAAAGAAAUUGACGGGGCCUGCACAAGCGGUGGAGCAUGUGGUUUAAUUCGAAGCAACGCGCAGAACCCUUACCAACGUUUGACAUGCCCGGACGACUGGCAGAGAUGCCUUUUUCCCUUCGGGGACUGGGACACAGGUGCUGCAUGGCUGUCGU